CAAACGUGGUUUGAUUAGAUUAUGAUCAAUUUAACCAAGCAGCAAUAAAAGCUAUUUAGAGCAGUCCAUGUCUAAAGAUUAUAACAAAACAAAUUUGGUGAAAAUCGGUUGAGUAAUAAGGAAGGUAUGGCCGAUUUGAUCAUGAGAACCAAUCAGAUCUCAGUACAGGGUAUUUGUUUACAAGCGGAUCUUGACCGCUCCAACAUGGCGGACGCGCAGACGUAUCGCCUCAGACGGAGAACAACAGAGAACGGGGCGUCUAUAUUCGCAUGUUUAUGGUUUAUACAGUCAGUUAACAGAACCGUUCCAGCUUCCAUCGAGGUAAACAGGCUAACUGACAUUAGCCAGCACUGCUACAGUGCAGACAGAGCGCUUUCUCAGCAGAGUUUUUAGCUAAUUAGCAUUACAGCUUCAAACGGGAGUUAAAACACGCAGAAACAAAGACACAGAAACAAAGACACAUCAUGAAGGAGGAGGAUGGAUUACACAAACACAGUUUAGAGACUAAACACCUCGUUUCCGCUCCAGUUUAGCGGCUCAAUCUGCAGCUUUUCUCUUCCACCUCACAUCUCACCAGCGUUCGCGCCAGGAGCGACUCGGCCUCGCGAGAUUCACGCGCUUUACAAAAGAAGAGCGGUGGCAAAAUACGAGUCCCUCAUCAGUAGAGGAUCUCACACGGAAAUGUUCUACAGAUGAACUAGAACCAUGUUUAUUUAAAAGAAAACACCAUCAGCUGAAAACAGGAGCUCACAAACGGCGUACGUCAUCUUCAGAAGGACAUGGUGCCAAGUAUUUAGGCCACCCUCUUAACCCCCUCAACUACCUUGCUCCACACCCAAGAGCACCUGGCAGUCAGAGGCCCUUGAGCUCCAUGAGCCCCAGUGGCCUGGUCAGUAUGCUGUUGGGAGAGUGACA